GAUACUGCUGCUGAUGUGAGAGGCAGUAGAAUCCAGUGUAGUGUGAAUACGUAGAUAUCUGAGAAUACCGUGCGAAGCGGCUGCCUGGUCUACAUUGACGCUGAGAUACGAAAGCGUGGGAGCAAACAGGAUUAGAUACCCUGGUAGUCCACGCGUAAACGAUGAGUGCUAAGUGUUAGGGGGUUUCCGCCCUUUAGUGCUGCAGCUAACGCAUUAAGCACUCCGCCUGGGGAGUACGGUCGCAAGACUGAAACUCAAAGGAAUUGACGGGGGCCCGCACAAGUGGUGGAGCAUGUGGUUUAAUUCGAAGCAACGCGAAGAACCUUACCAGGUCUUGACAUCCCACUGACCGGCCUAGAGAUAGGCUUUUCCCUUCGGGGACAGCGGUGACAGGUGGUGCAUGGUUGUCGUCAGCUCGUGUCGUGAGAUGUUGGGUUAAGUCCCGCAACGAGCGCAACCCUUGAUCUUAGUUGCCAGCAUUCAGUUGGGCACUCUAAGGUGACUGCCGGUGAUAAACCGGAGGAAGGUGGGGAUGACGUCAAAUCAUCAUGCCCCUUAUGACCUGGGCUACACACGUGCUACAAUGGACGGUACAGAGGGUCGCAACCCCGCGAGGGUGAGCAAAUCCCAUAAAACCGUUCUCAGUUCGGAUUGUAGGCUGCAACUCGCCUACAUGAAGCCGGAAUCGCUAGUAAUCGUGGAUCAGCAUGCCACGGUGAAUACGUUCCCGGGCCUUGUACACACCGCCCGUCACACCACGAGAGUUUGUAACACCCGAAGUCGGUGGGGUAACCCUUACGGGAGCCAGCCGCCGAAGGUGGGACAGAUGAUUGGGGUGAAGUCGUAACAAGGUAACCAAGGG
rnacentral:rRNA from 1 species